rnacentral:rRNA from 1 species
CACGUAGGCGGCUUCUUAAGUCAGGGGUGAAAGCCUGGAGCUCAACUCCAGAACUGCCUUUGAUACUGAGGAGCUUGAGUCCGGGAGAGGUGAGUGGAACUGCGGGUGUAGAGGUGAAAUUCGUAGAUAUUCGCAAGAACACCAGUGGCGAAGGCGGCUCACUGGCCCGGUACUGACGCUGAGGUGCGAAAGCGUGGGAGCAAACA